rnacentral:rRNA from 1 species
UACCUGCAACAAAAGAUGACCAAAACUCAAGCGCAGAGGCAACGACUUACCUUGAACAGGGAGCAGUUCAUGAUGGUUGUUCCUCGUUGGUGCUAUGGAAGGCAUGACGGAUGGGCGGGUUUGGUGGAUAGGUGGCUCGGCGACGAUGCAGAGUUUGCUGCCAAGAGCAUCAAGGCCCGGGCUAACCGUGGAAAAGACGGGACACACGGCCAAGGAAACAGGAACCACUGGGGCUUCAAGGCCAUGAAGGAGGACAAGUUAAAGAGGCCGCUCUCAGACAUUGAGUCGUGGAAGCUGGCCCGCGAGCGGAGUCAUCCCAAG